UCUGCUUAACCUUCCGUCUCCGACGUAGUCGUGUUGAUUGUGGUUUAUUUAUGUCUAGAUCUCUGCUCUCCAUACCCGCCCUCAACAUAAAGAGAAAACCCUGGGGAUUAUGUAUAACACUGGCAUAAGAAGACUCAGAAAGGCGAAGAGAAGAAGGCAGACCGACCAGGAAUCUCAAGACCCAAGGAAUGACACAAUGGUCAGUUUUCUGAGUUUUUGCUUUUUUGUCAUAUAGAUUAGGCCUGGAGUUAAAGAAGCCAACAGCUCAAAGUAAAUGAAUGAAUGAAUGAAUGAAUGAAUAAUAGAAUAGAUUAGAAUACAAUAAAAUAGAAUAUCAACAGCUCAAAAAUAGUAAUAAACACUGACAAGAGGACACCCAACAAAAGCCUGUUUUCUCUAGCCAAAGGACCAGGAAAAGGACAACCUCACAAGGCGUAAAACAUUUGGACAAAAACCACUCUACCCUAGCAAACAUCACAAACACCAACUGGCUGAUGUCAGAGAAGGCUGAGUAGGGAGCUGGGACUUUCAUCCCUGCUACAACAAAGAGCUCUUACCCCUGUGGUGUCGGUGAAGGUCAUAUACAGAGCAGUAACAGGCAUUCCUGCCCCUCCAGUACAGGGAAAUAUCACUGGAGGUCUACUGGGGAGCUGGAAUAGCCCACCCAACAGUAAUGAGGAACACUCUCCCUCCCAGAUGUCAACAGAAGCCAGUGGAGAAGCUGAAUAUCUACCCCCAUCUGGCAGUAAUGAGGAAACACAUCACCCUCCUACCAGCGUGGUGUCAGAGGAAGCCAGUUAAAAGAAGCGUUUUAAAUAAGAUCCAGAGUCUCAUAACAUGCUACCCAAAUGUUCAGGAUUCAAUCCAAAAUCACUCAUCACACCAAGAACAAGGAAGAACCCAAAUUGAAUGAAUAAAAGACAAUAGAUGCAUGCUAACAUCAAAAUAACAUAGACGUUAGAAUGAUCUGACCAAGAUUUUAAAGUAGCUAUUAUAAAAAUGUUCCCCUGAGCAAUUACAAACAUUCUUGAAACUAAUGACAAAAAUAUUAAGCUUCAACAAAGAAAUAGGAGCGCAGAGCAAACAUGAAAAGAUAUAUAAAUGAACCAAAUGGAGAAACUUUUGAGCUGAAAAAGACACAAAAACACAAGAACUCAACGUUAGGGGCUCAACAAAUAAAUGGCGGAGACAGUGGGAAGGAUCAGUGAACUGGAAGGUAGGACGAUAUACUGCCUAAAAUGAACAACAGAGAAGGAGUAGACUGAAAGGGAAAAUGAACAGAACUUCAAGGACCUGGGGGGACAAUUAUGAAAGCUCUAACAUUUGCAUUACCACACUUCUAGAAAGAAAGAAGAGGGCAGGCCUAAAAAUGUCCUUUGAGACAUAAAGGCUGAAAUCUUCCUAAAGACAUAAACUUUCAGAUUUGAGAAGCUGAGUGAAUUCCAGGCAAGAUAAACUUGAUGAAAUUCUUACCAAGACACAUCGUAGUCAAACUUCUGAGAACUAAAGACAAAACAAAAAUAAAAACAAGCCCUCGAAAGACAGUGGGGGGAAAAAAGACCAAGACAGUCUCAAGCGAAAGAAAACUAAGAAAAUGUGUUGCCAGUAGACCUACCCUAAAAGAAUGGCUAAAGAAAUUGUCUAACCAGAAAGGAAAUGACAGAAGGACUUCUGGAUCAUCAGAAAGGAAGAAAAAAACUCAGUAAGCAAAACUAUGAGUAAAGAUAAUUGUUUUUUCUUUUCUUCUUGAUUCUUCUAAAUGCCGCUUGAGAGUUGAAGGAAAAAUUAAUGACUGUCUCAUAACGGUUCUAAAUGUAAACAGAAGAAUUAUCUAACAACUGUUUUAUAAAAGGGUGACUGUGGAGUCGAUCUUUUACACUUCA